UACGUAGGGUGCAAGCGUUAAUCGGAAUUACUGGGCGUAAAGCGUGCGCAGGCGGUUAUGUAAGACAGGUGUGAAAUCCCCGGGCUUAACCUGGGAACUGCAUUUGUGACUGCACAGCUGGAGUGCGGCAGAGGGGGAUGGAAUUCCGCGUGUAGCAGUGAAAUGCGUAGAUAUGCGGAGGAACACCGAUGGCGAAGGCAAUCCCCUGGGCCUGCACUGACGCUCAUGCACGAAAGCGUGGGGAGAAAACAGG
rnacentral:rRNA from 1 species